rnacentral:misc_RNA from 1 species
CCGAGUGAGGGCCCUCUGGGUCCAACCUCCCACCCGUGUUUAUCGUACCUUGUUGCUUCGGUGGGCCCGCCGUUCAGGCCGCCGGGGGGCAUCCGCCCCCGGGCCCGCGCCCGCCGAAGACACCAUUGAACGCUGUCUGAAGAUUGCAGUCUGAGCGAUUAGCUAAAUCAGUUA